rnacentral:rRNA from 1 species
CUUGCUUCUCUGAUGGUUAGCGGCGGACGGGUGAGUAACACGUAGGCAACCUGCCCUCAAGCUUGGGACAACUACCGGAAACGGUAGCUAAUACCGAAUAGUUGUUUUCUUCUCCUGAAGAGAACUGGAAAGACGGAGCAAUCUGUCACUUGGGGAUGGGCCUGCGGCGCAUUAGCUAGUUGGUGGGGUAACGGCUCACCAAGGCGACGAUGCGUAGCCGACCUGAGAGGGUGAUCGGCCACACUGGGACUGAGACACGGCCCAGACUCCUACGGGAGGCAGCAGUAGGGAAUCUUCCGCAAUGGGCGAAAGCCUGACGGAGCAAUGCCGCGUGAGUGAUGAAGGUUUUCGGAUCGUAAAGCUCUGUUGCCAGGGAAGAACGCUUGGGAGAGUAACUGCUCUCAAGGUGACGGUACCUGAGAAGAAAGCCCCGGCUAACUACGUGCCAGCAGCCGCGGUAAUACGUAGGGGGCAAGCGUUGUCCGGAAUUAUUGGGCGUAAAGCGCGCGCAGGCGGUCAUUUAAGUCUGGUGUUUAAUCCCGGGGCUCAACCCCGGAUCGCACUGGAAACUGGGUGACUUGAGUGCAGAAGAGGAGAGUGGAA